AAAAUCAGUUAACCAACUGGAAAUCACAUAUGGAAUCAAUUGUAGCCUCUGUACAACAUGAUUUGCCCCCUCCAACAAAUCAAGCUGAAUUUGAAAUGCCUUCAACAUCUGAACAUGCAGAAGACGUCGAAAGAUCAACAAAAGAAAAAAAAGGUAAGCAAAAAGAGACACAAUCUCCAUCACCAACGGCAACGAAUACUUUAGAAGAUUAUAACAUCGACAAAUACAAAAACAUUAGAGAAUGGAUAUCAGAAAAUCCAUCAGAGUAAGAUAUUAAAUUUAACUUCGUUAACUUAAAUAUUCUAUUUCGUAUUUUACUUAUUUAAUAACAAUUUCAUUUUUUCUUAUAUAGUGCAUACUGGAAAGAUGAAAUCGGCAAUCAAUACGCAAGACAUUCGCUGAUAAAUAUAAUAAAUCAAAUUAAAGAUAUAAAUAUUGUGGUAAGUCAACUUUAGCAAUCUUAAUUAAUUUUACUUCGUUAUUAAUAUAGCUAAUUUAAAUUUUUUUUACUAGCAUAUUGAUAUAGAAUUAAAGCUGUUGCGAAGACUCAUUCAUGAUACAUCUUCCCCGGUUUCCAAAGAAUAUGCAAUCAUGGACUUUCGAUUCGAGAAUGAAUGUGUUCAUUGGUACACAACGAUCAAACAAGGAUCGACCGCUUCUGUGAAUAAUUUCCAGGCAUUAGAGCAAUACACAAAAGGAGAAUUACCUACAUUUGCUCGACCCUGGAUAACAUACAACUAUUUAUUAAUUCCAGUCGCAUAUCCAGGCAACAGUUGGUUUAUUUUUCUUGUUGAUUUUAAAAAGUGGAAAUUUCAAGUAUAUGAUUGCAGCCACAACAUUCAUACACCAGAUGCAAUCAAGUUACGUGCAGCCCCAGUUUUGGAUGUAGUACAAUCAUUAUUAAUAGCUACUGACAUUUUCUUCGCGAAGCCAAAUUUACGAAAACAUAGAAAUAAACGUAUGAAAUUGGAAAUCAUACCGUAUCUACCUUGUCAAAAUAAUGGGUAAGUAUCUCAACAAUUUACUUUAAUAUUUAUUUUUCUAUUCAAUUUUAUUUUACAUUUAUAGCAUUACUAUAAAAUAACUUCAAACUAUUUUUUCUGUAGGCCAAACUCUGGAGUUCUUCUUCUCAAAUACAUUGAAUGCUUCAUUUUCGGAUAUCCAUUAGAAGCAGUUUCAACUGAGAAAAUACGUUUAUACAGACGAAAACUUGUCACAGAUAUAUGUCAAAAUGAAUAUUUUUUCCGUCCAUAACCAUAACAAAGAAGGUAACUUUUUUUUUUUUUUUUUAUAAUGUCCCCAUCAUGUAAAGCAAAAGAUAUAAUAAGGUAAAAGCAUUGCCAAAAUAAAUAUCUAUAUUAAUUAACUAAUUCAAUCUCAAUUUUUUCUACAUAUACUUUAGUCUUGUUUCUUUCUACUUCUGCUAAUAGCUUUUCUCUUGCUUUAAUAGGUAUGCCUUAUCAUAAUUGAUGUUGAAACCAAGAAGAAAAAGCUUUUCAUCACCGAUCAUGUAAUGUAAGUAUCAUGUAUUCAAAUAUCAAGUAUAUCAAGAAUUGCCGUUUUAACAAUUUCUUAUCAAUGUUUCAUUUUCUUCCUUUUG
rnacentral:lncRNA from 1 species